rnacentral:snoRNA from 2 species
AAGAUUAUACUUUCAGGGAUCAUUUCUAUAGUUUGUUACUAGUAUUUCUGUAUGCGUUUGGGGUGCAAGUGU